UACGGGGGGGGGCAAGCGUUGUUCGGAAUUACUGGGCGUAAAGGGUUCGUAGGUGGCCAAUUAAGUCAGACGUGAAAUCCCUCAGCUUAACUGGGGAACUGCGUCUGAGACUGGAUGGCUUGAGUGCAGGAGAGGAACGCGGAAUUCCAGGUGUAGCGGUGAAAUGCGUAGAUAUCUGGAGGAACACCGGUGGCGAAGGCGGCGUUCUGGACUGCAACUGACACUGAGGAACGAAAGCCAGGGGAGCAAACGGGG
rnacentral:rRNA from 1 species